rnacentral:rRNA from 1 species
UACAGAGGGUGCAAGCGUUAAUCGGAAUGACUGGGCGUAAAGCGUGUGUAGGUGGUUGGAUAAGUUAGAUGUGAAAUCCCCGGGCUUAACCUGGGAACUGCGUUUAAAACUGUCUAGCUAGAGUACUGUAGAGGAUAGUGGAAUUUCCAGUGUAGCGGUGAAAUGCGUAGAUAUUGGAAGGAACACCAGUGGCGAAGGCGACUAUCUGGAUAGAUACUGACACUGAGACACGAAAGCGUGGGGAGCAAACAGG